UACAGAGGUCCCAAGCGUUGUUCGGAUUCACUGGGCGUAAAGGGUGCGUAGGUGGUUGAUUAAGUUUGAUGUGAAAUCUCCGAGCUCAACUCGGAAACUGCAUUGAAUACUAUUCGACUAGAGGUUUGGAGGGGGGACUGGAAUUCUCGGUGUAGCAGUGAAAUGCGUAGAUAUCGAGAGGAACACCAGUGGCGAAGGCGAGUCCCUGGACAACACCUGACACUGAGGCACGAAAGCUAGGGGAGCAAACAGG
rnacentral:rRNA from 1 species